rnacentral:rRNA from 1 species
UACGUAGGGUGCGAGCGUUAAUCGGAAUUACUGGGCGUAAAGGGUGCGCAGGCGGUAAUGUAAGCUUGAUGUGAAAUCCCCGGGCUCAACCUGGGAAUGGCAUUGAGGACUGCAUAACUAGAGUUUGGCAGAGGGGGAUGGAAUUCCACGUGUAGCAGUGAAAUGCGUAGAGAUGUGGAGGAACACCGAUGGCGAAGGCAGUCCCCUGGGUUAAAACUGACGCUCAAGCACGAAAGCGUGGGGAGCAAACAGG